CACCAACAUAAACCACUUAUUUUUCUGUUUUGGAAAGCAAAAACUGAAAGAGAAAAUUGUAGAGAUCCUCUGAGUCCAGAUCUAUUUGAUGGAUACGGUGGUCCUCCAAUUGCAGACUUUGGGAUGAUGCAGACUUGGUAUUUACCUUUCCUAUAUCUCAGUAUCCCCCCAAACCUCCUCCCCCUCUUGCUUUCCAUGUGCUUCAAGGGAUGCAAAAAAUUGUUUGCUGAAAAUGGUCAAGUAGUUCAUUAUGGGGAAAUGCCAGUGCUCAAGGGUUGGGAUGAUGGUGAAACCGUCUACAAUGCUUCACCUUUCUCCACAUUUUAGCUUUGUAGCUGCUCCAGUAUGUGAAGUAACAGUGUGAGAUAUUUGGCUUCUUUGUCGAUUUAUAUGAUCAUUCCAACACAACAAAGUGCUGAGCUUUCCCUGAAUUAGCAGCUAAAUAUGCAAGAUAUCCCCCAAAGAAAAUCCGUUGGUAAAAGAUAACCAAGAUUGGCCGAUCGAGAUCCUGAUGGUGAGCAUACGACUGCUUUACCUGAUCAACCCUCCACAUCCAAAAUGCCUAAAACUUGACCAUUAUAGACAUAAUUCACAUUACUUGCUCGCCUGGUGGGUUUCUAGCAGACACUAGAGAAGUGAGGCAUGCUC